rnacentral:rRNA from 1 species
GUGGAUUAGUGGCGAACGGGUGAGUAACACGUGGGCAAUCUGCCCUGCACUCUGGGACAAGCCCUGGAAACGGGGUCUAAUACCGGAUAUGACACACGACCGCAUGGUCUGUGUGUGGAAAGCUCCGGCGGUGCAGGAUGAGCCCGCGGCCUAUCAGCUUGUUGGUGGGGUAAUGGCCCUACCAAGGCGACGACGGGUAGCCGGCCUGAGAGGGCGACCGGCCACACUGGGACUGAGACACGGCCCAGACUCCUACGGGAGGCAGCAGUGGGGAAUAUUGCACAAUGGGCGCAAGCCUGAUGCAGCGACGCCGCGUGAGGGAUGACGGCCUUCGGGUUGUAAACCUCUUUCAGCAGGGAAGAAGCGCAAGUGACGGUACCUGCAGAAGAAGCGCCGGCUAACUACGUGCCAGCAGCCGCGGUAAUACGUAGGGCGCAAGCGUUGUCCGGAAUUAUUGGGCGUAAAGAGCUCGUAGGCGGCUUGUCGCGUCGGAUGUGAAAGCCCGGGGCUUAACCCCGGGUCUGCAUUCGAUACGGGCAGGCUAGAGUUCGGUAGGGGAGAUCGGAAUUCCUGGUGUAGCGGUGAAAUGCGCAGAUAUCACGA